rnacentral:piRNA from 1 species
UGGCAGUUAUCAAAGGGCCUGUUCUUGUGU